CUCACUCAUGUUUUUAAGAGUCACAAUAGUCAAUUCAAUGAUACUGGGAGGAAAGCCCCUGCAGUAUCAGAGAGGAAACCCUGACAGCCAGACAGCACCUGGCAACGGUGGAGAGGAAGAACUCCCUUUUAACAGGAAGUAACCGUCUGCCAUGUGCUGUGGUCACAGCAGUUUAAGAUCAUCACAGGUGUACCCUCAGAACCCUCCCCAGUCCACAGAUGGUCUUUACUUCCUGUCCAGGACCUGCAGAGUCCUCACCUGGCCAGCGCCACCUGGAGGAGGAGCUUUGGAAACGUUGUGGGUGCGUGAGGUCAGUGCUCUCCUGUGAUGAUGGUUAUUUUAAACAGUUUAAUGAAAUGUUUUUAUGGUGUAACAUUUUCACUGAUAAUCUUGCCUCUGUUGUCCUUUUAUGUUCUUUUGAUUCAAACAUAAUUUUGUCUUGGUGAGUCCGUUCAGCCAUGAUGGACGAAAGGUUAAGUACGAAUGAUUGGGAGGAAGUCUUGUAGGGCGGACUCACCUCUUUGUUGUUUCCUUUGUUUGUUUGAGCCACUUCCCUUUACAAACCCUGGUUACAGGUCACACACAGUGCUGAUUCCCAGACCCGAAAUGUUUGUG
ensembl:lncRNA